CAGUAGCCGCGGUAAUACGUAGGGUGCGAGCGUUAAUCGGAAUUACUGGGCGUAAAGCGUGCGCAGGCGGUUUGUUAAGUCUGCUGUGAAAUCCCCGGGCUCAACCUGGGAAUUGCGAUGGAUACUGGGCGACUAGAGUGCGGUAGAGGAUAGUGGAAUUUCCGGUGUAGCAGUGAAAUGCGUAGAGAUCGGAAGGAACAUCUGUGGCGAAGGCGACUAUCUGGGCCAACACUGACGCUGAGACACGAAAGCGUGGGGAGCAAACAGGAUUAGAUACCCCAGUAGUCCCUGUCUCUUAUAA
rnacentral:rRNA from 1 species